CGAACAGAAGGUCACUGUAAUUCAGGAUGAACAAGAAAUUCCCAUGGAUUCUAGAAAAAAAAAAGUCGAUUUAUCUUGGAAACAAGGAUAAUAUGGGUGACAAAAAAGAAAUUCUACAGUGAAGACUGCAGGGCAUGGUGACAAAUAUGUUUGAUUCCAGCACUGUGGAGGCAAAGGCAGGCGGCUCUCUGUGAGGUUGAGGCUAACCUAGUCUAUAUUGUGAAUUCCAGGACAGCGAGGGCUUGUCUAAAACAAAACAAGGACACCCACCAUAAACGGUGACUGCAUAGAUAACCGCAAAGAAUCUCAUCAAUGGGGAAGAUGCAUGAACGGUGCCGGGGAAAGAAGGACUCAGGAUGCUGCUCCGGGUACCGCAUGCAGCCUCUGAGGCUCCUGUGAGGUUGGUAACUGCUUCAUGUUCGGUAUAAAGCUUUUCAGGGCCGAGCAUCGGAAACAAAGAUAGUGUAAUAAAAUGAAAGGUUCAGCCUUAUGUUCUACCAAAGAUCGAUAUCUACAUAUAACUAAGAGUUUUUAUUUUUACUUCUUGCUUCAACAAUAUUGAUCAGUAAAGCUAAUUAAUGAGUGACAUCUAGGUGAAUUCUGAUGUUUUCAAUAAACACCUCAUAUUUUCUAUUUUUAAA